AUUGAACGCUGGCGGCAGGCCUAACACAUGCAAGUCGAACGAGUGGCGGACGGGUGAGUAAUGUCUGGGAAACUGCCCGAUGGAGGGGGAUAACUACUGGAAACGGUAGCUAAUACCGCAUACCCUCGGAUGUGCCCAGAUGGGAUGAGCUUGUAGGUGAGGGAACGGCUCACCUAGGCGACGAUCCCUAGCUGGUCUGAGAGGAUGACCAGCAACACUGGAACUGAUACACGGUCCAGACUCCUACGUGAGGCAGCAGUGGGGAAGAUUGCACAAUGGGCGCAAGCAUGAUGCAGCCAUGCCGCGUGUAUGAAGAAGGCCUUCGGGUGUUAAAGUACUUUCAGCGGGGAGGCGUUACCCGCAGAAGAAGCACCGGCUAACUCCGUGUCAUCAGCCGCGGUAAUAC
rnacentral:rRNA from 1 species